rnacentral:ncRNA from 1 species
ACGAUAGAGGCGCACCUUUCAUCAGUAGCUCAGGACAAGGCUGCCAAAGCUGUUUGAAUCCUCUGCCAAAGGGAACGGUGCCGAAGGGGGUAUUUCGGCGAAUACUGCCCUGGGUGUGUCCUGAACAAGGGCGCAACUGUCACCGUGCUUUCCGCUGCGGAACCGGUGAAGCGCUAUCCG